UACGAAGGGGGCUAGCGUUGUUCGGAAUUACUGGGCGUAAAGCGCACGUAGGCGGAUACUUAAGUCAGGGGUGAAAUCCCGGGGCUCAACCCCGGAACUGCCUUUGAUACUGGGUAUCUCGAGUCCGGAAGAGGUGAGUGGAAUUCCGAGUGUAGAGGUGAAAUUCGUAGAUAUUCGGAGGAACACCAGUGGCGAAGGCGGCUCACUGUCCGGUACUGACGCUGAGGUGCGAAAAGCGUGGGGAGCAAACAGG
rnacentral:rRNA from 1 species